rnacentral:rRNA from 1 species
CCUACGGGAGGCAGCAGUAGGGAAUCUUUCACAAUGGGCGAAAGCCUGAUGGAGCAACGCCGCGUGCAGGAUGAAGGCCUUCGGGUUGUAAACUUCUUUUAUUAGCGAGAAAUCUGAUGGUAACUUAUGAAUAAGGAUCGGCUAACUACGUGCCAGCAGCCGCGGUCAUACGUAGGAUCCGAGCAUUAUCCGGAGUGACUGGGUGUAAAGAGUUGCGUAGGUGGCAUAAUAAGUAGCUAGUGAAAUCUGGUGGCUAAACCAUUCGGACUAUUAGCUAAACUGUUAAGCUCGAGACCGUUAGGGGUAACUGGAAUUUCUAGUGUAGGAGUGAAAUCCGUAGAUAUUAGAAGGAACACCAAUAGCGUAGGCAGGUUGCUGGGACGGUUCUGACACUAAGGCACGAAAGCGUAGGGAGCAAACGGGAUUAGAUACCCUGGUAGUC